AACGAACGCUGGCGACAGGCUUAACACAUGCAAGUCGAGCGCCCCGCAAGGGGAGCGGCAGACGGGUGAGUAACGCGUGGGAAUCUACCCAUCUCUACGGAAUAACGCAUGGAAACGUGUGCUAAUACCGUAUACGUCCUUCGGGAGAAAGAUUUAUCGGAGAUGGAUGGGCCCGCGUUGGAUUAGCUAGUUGGUGGGGUAAAGGCCUACCAAGGCGACGAUCCAUAGCUGGUCUGAGAGGAUGAUCAGCCACACUGGGACUGAGACACGGCCCAGACUCCUACGGGAGGCAGCAGUGGGGAAUAUUGGACAAUGGGCGCAAGCCUGGUCCAGCCAUGCCGCGUGAGUGAUGAAGGCCCUAGGGUUGUAAAGCUCUUUCACCGGUGAAGAUAAUGACGAUAACCGGAGAAGAAGCCCCGGCUAACUUCGUGCCAGCCGCCGCCGUAAGAC
rnacentral:rRNA from 1 species